rnacentral:rRNA from 1 species
UCCGCGCGGAAGAUGUAACGGGGCUAAGCGAUGUACCGAAGCUGCGGGUGCAUAGCAAUAUGCGCGGUAGAGGAGCGUUCCGUAAGCCUGCGAAGGUGACUCGUAAGGGUUGCUGGAGGUAUCGGAAGUGCGAAUGCUGACAUGAGUAACGAUAAUGCAGGUGAAAAACCUGCACGCCGUAAGCCCAAGGUUUCCUGCGCAACGAUUUUCGGCGCAGGGUAAGUCGGAUCCUAAGGCGAGGCCGAAAGGCGUAGUCGAUGGGAAUGCAGUGAAUAUUCUGCAGCCAGUGGAUGGUGACGAAUCCCGUAUGUUGUCCGACCUUAAUGGAUUGGUUGGGCCUCGAAGGGGUUCCAGGAAAUAGCCUCCACAUCAGAUCGUACCCGAAACCGACACAGGUGGACUGGUAGAGUAUACCAAGGCGCUUGAGAGAACUAUGUUGAAGGAACUCGGCAAUUUACCUCCGUAACUUCGGGAUAAGGAGGCCCAUUGCUCGCGCAAGCGGGCAGUGGGGGCACAGACCAGG